rnacentral:rRNA from 1 species
GACAGAGGUGGCCAAGCGUUAGGCGGAAUCACGUGGGCUUAAAGCGUGUGUAGGCGGAUCGUUAAGUACCUUGUGAAAAUCCCACGGCUCAACCGUGGAACUGCUCGGUAUACGUGGCGGUCUUGAGCCACCGUAGGGGCAACUGGAACAAGUGGUGGAGCGGUGAAAUGCGUAGAUAUCGAGAGGAACACCUGCGGCGAAGGCGGGUUGCUGGGCUGACACUGACGCUGAGGCGACGAAAGCCAGGGAGGCGAACGGG